GGAUGCGAUCACACCAGCACUAACGCACCAGAUUCCAUCAGAACUCAGAAGUGAAGCGUGCUUAGGCGAGAGUAUUACUAGGAUGGGUGACCCCCUGGGAAGUCCUCGUGUUGCAUCCC
rfam:Nicotiana sylvestris Nsyl_contig143098, whole genome shotgun sequence.